rnacentral:rRNA from 1 species
UACGUAGGGUGCGAGCGUUGUCCGGAAUUAUUGGGCGUAAAGAGCUCGUAGGCGGCUUGUCGCGUCGGAUGUGAAAGCCCGGGGCUUAACUCCGGGUCUGCAUUCGAUACGGGCAGGCUAGAGUUCGGUAGGGGAGAUCGGAAUUCCUGGUGUAGCGGUGAAAUGCGCAGAUAUCAGGAGGAACACCGGUGGCGAAGGCGGAUCUCUGGGCCGAUACUGACGCUGAGGAGCGAAAGCGUGGGGAGCGAACGGG